GCCCUCGUAGCUCAGUUGGAUAGAGCGACCGCCUCCUAAGUGGUAGGCCGCAGGUUCGAUUCCUGCCGAGGGCG
rnacentral:tRNA from 1 species